rnacentral:rRNA from 1 species
UACGUAGGUGGCAAGCGUUGUCCGGAAUUAUUGGGCGUAAAGCGCGCGCAGGUGGUUUCUUAAGUCUGAUGUGAAAGCCCACGGCUCAACCGUGGAGGGUCAUUGGAAACUGGGGAACUUGAGUGCAGGAGAGAAGAGUGGAAUUCCACGUGUAGCGGUGAAAUGCGUAGAGAAUGUGGAGGAACACCAGUGGCGAAGGCGACUCUUUGGCCUGUAACUGACACUGAGGCGCGAAAGCGUUGGGGAGCAAACAGGA